AUUGAACGCUGGCGGCAUGCCUUACACAUGCAGGUCGAACGGUAACAGGUCUUCGGAUGCUGACGAGUGGCGAACGGGUGAGUAAUGCAUCGGAACGUGCCCAGUAGUGGGGGAUAGCCCGGCGAAAGCCGGAUUAAUACCGCAUACGACCUGAGGGUGAAAGGGGGGGAUCGCAAGACCUCUCGCUAUUGGAGAGGCCGAUGUCAGAUUAGCGAGGUGGUGGGGAAAAGGCCUACCAAGGCAACGCUCUGUAGUUGGUCUGAGAGGACGGCCAGCCACACUGGGACUGAGCCACGGGCCAGGCGCCUACGGGAGGCAGCAGUGGUAAAUUUUGGACAAUGGGGGCAAGCCUGAUACAGCAAUGCCGCGUGCAGGAAGAGGGCCUUCGGGUUGUAAACUGCUUUUGUCAGGGAAGAAAUCUUCUGGGUUAAUACCUCGGGAGGAUGACGGUACCUGAAGAAUAAGCACCGGCUAACUACGUGCCAGCAGCCGCCGUAAAAC
rnacentral:rRNA from 1 species